AACCAGAGUGUUGAGUUCAGUUCUGGGCUUUAUCCCCAGUUCUGCUAAUUAACCUCUGGGACAGAAAAUGGCUGAGUGUUAACACAAUCAUGAAGUGGUUAUUGACUCCAGCCGACACGA